rnacentral:lncRNA from 1 species
UACAUACAUGUCAAAUGAAACGGAAAGUUAGACUUCCUCAACACAAUUAUAUAUGGAGUUGUGAUGGAUUAUGUUGGAUAUAAUACUCAUGCUUCAUCCAAAAACUCAUUUGUUCCUUGCUCCGACUAUGAGGAGGGCACCUGAAGGUAAAUUUUCUGACUAUUCUUCAGUUUCCUUGCAAAAUUGAGACCGUAACCUGGUCACUCAUGAAACAAAACUGUUUGGGUAUAAUAUAGUUCAUCCAAGUGCUACAGUUGAUAAUAUGCUAUCUAUUUCUGUCUUAUAAGAGAAUAAAUUGAUAUAACAGGUGGCCCUCAAAACUCAAAAAUGGAUUAUUCAGGGAUUUUUCUUCUUCCUGCACGGCGCAACAGGAUAAGAAAUACACUAUGCAUUCUUCACAUAAAGAUAAUGUAGAAAUUAUCUAGUUAAGCCAGUGGACAAUUGAAGAAUAUCCUCAUAAGAAUUUUUUCAUGAAAAACGAUUCUGGAUAAAUUGCAACAGACGCCACAAAUUAGCAUAAUUUUUAGCCAGGGCUCAGUAACACUCUUAUCCUCGAUGUAGAUAUGUUUAUUAUGAUCCUUGAAUCAAACUAAUAAAUUCAAAUGAGAAACAAAGUGAUCAAAACGAAUAGAAAAAUUCAGAUAGUACCUUUAAAAGUGUGUUAUAAGCCUCUAACAAGCGGUUAGCAG